CUUCUAAAAUAUAGGAAAAAAUGUCUUCUAAAAUUAGAGGAUGCAACCACCUCUAAAUGAAAGAAGAACUUUCCGUUUAACCGAAAAGACUAAAUUUGCAAUGCUUAUUUUGUUGUUCGCGAGAUAUUUGACCAAGAAAAAGACACCCAGAUUGACUUUGAGUUGAUUGUUUGUUGACUAGCAGACGACGAUCACUUUUAUCGGUGUGGCGUGUGGGUACUGGCUACUGGGGCUACUGGAUAUUCAUUGGAAUUCAUCGAUCUAAUGAUUCUAAAACGAAAAAAAACCAUGCCCCCAGUGUCACAACUGAUGGUUCCUUUACUUAUCAAAUGUCACAGGCAGAUUGGUGAUAAUGUGAUUGCUGAAUGAACUGGUAAACGUAUAAAAUGGAAUUGACUAUAUAUUAUAUUUAUCAUCAGACAUCACUCCCUUUCAGAAAAUUAUGUCUUGAAGAUGACGAUAAGUUGCCAGUUGAUUUACAUGUCACCCUUAGUGAUAUCCUACCACACCAUCCUUUAUUCGGCAUGCAAAAAAAACUUUCCAUUCUGGGUUUCUCUGAUUUGAAAGGCCUUGAUGAUGUAAUGGUGCUAGGAGAAAAUUUUAUCAACAGAGAGAAAUGAAAGCUGCAGCUGUGUGAAAUGGAAUUGACAAUUACAUUCAUCAACAGACACAUUUCAGUUUCAGAAAUUUUUGUCUUGAGACAAAAGUUGCCAGUCGAUUUACAUGUCACCUUAAGUGAUAUCAUA